rnacentral:rRNA from 1 species
GACGAACCGAGCGAACGUUAUUCGGAAUCAUUGGGCUUAAAGGGCGCGUAGGCGGGCCGUCUAGUCCGGGGUGAAAGCCUCCAGCUCAACUGGAGAAGUGCCUCGGAUACUGGCGGCCUCGAGGGAGGUAGGGGCGUGCGGAACUUCCGGUGGAGCGGUGAAAUGCGUAGAUAUCGGAAGGAACACCAGUGGCGAAGGCGGCGCGCUGGACCUCUUCUGACGCUGAGGCGCGAAAGCCAGGGGAGCAAACGGG